GUUUGCUCUUUUUCUUUCUUCUUUUUGUUUUUUAAUUUAUUUCUCUUGAAUCCAAUGAGAGGUGACAGUGUGGCUCUGCCAGCACUCAAUCUCACUUUGCCAAGAGUUGGAGCCGAUUUCACAUCUCUUAUCCUUGCAAGCACCAUUGGCUUCUUUCCUAAGUACCUCAAAGCCCCCUAAUAUGCUUUUACUUGAUUGUUUUUGGAAUGUUUUCCAGUAUCUGCUUCUUCAGCAGAGAGCACCAAGGUGGAAGCACAGCUGCCCAUGCAGGGGAAAGCAGCAGCUAAAAGGCAGUGUCACCCUGCGCUCGGAGGUUGUUCCUACAGCUGUGGUUUGGGAAUAAGUCUUCUCUUAAGUGGGUCUCCCAGUCACAUGGCUCCGCAAGCACGGAGAUUCAAGGAGAAGCAUUGGGAACAUUGCAGCUGAGGGGCCCUGUGCUGGACAGAAUCCUUCCACCUGAGCAGUCCUUGCAGGAGACAGUCUGACCCGGGAGUUGGCAAGUGGGCUCAGCGGCUCCGAGUGUUGGGAGAGGAUCAAAAAGCUGCCCCGGCUGUAAAUCUCUCACCUGCCAUCUUCCUUACUGGAGCUUGUGGCCAUUCCUCCGAGGUCGGCCCCGGGGUCGCCUCCACCAUUCCUGGUGGUCGCAUCCCAGUGGAGGCACUGCUGCACGUAGGGUGCUGCCCCGGGGCCGUUUGCU
ensembl:lncRNA